rnacentral:rRNA from 1 species
ACACGUAGGGGCCUGACGUUGUUCGGAAUCAUUGGGCGUAAAGGGCGCGCAGGCGGCCGUCCAAGUCCGGUGUUAAAUGGUCGGGCUCAACCCGAUCAUGCGCUGGAAACUGGGCGGCUGGAGUCCCGGAGGGGAUGCCGGAAUUCCAGGUGUAGGGGUGAAAUCUGUAGAUAUUUGGAAGAACACCGAUGGCGAAGGCAGGCAUCUGGCCGGAGACUGACGCUGAGGCGCGAAGGCGCGGGGAGCGAACAGGUUUAGAUACCCUGGUAGUCCGCGCAGUAAACGAUGCGCACCAGGUGUCGGGCGGCAGCGCCCGGUACCGGAGCAAACGCGAUGAGUGCGCCGCCUGGGGAGUAUGCCCGCAAGGGUGAAACUCAAAGGAAUUGACGGGG